rnacentral:lncRNA from 1 species
AUACGGUCGUCCAAAGUCUCGCCCAAAUCUUCAAGUCGCCCAAGGUAUCAACAAACAUAACGCAUUAUGAUGCAGUUAUUGAAGCAGUUGCUAAAGUAAUUUCAUCACGUUCCACGACUCAAGGGGUUCAAUCGAAAGCGGUUGAACGAUGCAAGAUAAUGGCAGCAGUUAAAAGACAGUUGCAUGACAAAGUGGCCAUUACAAAGAAAGUGGGUAGUUAUUGGGCGAUCAAGCAGUUUUUUAGAGCAGUUAAUCACAAAGGGAUCGCCUAUGAAGUAUAAAAGGGAGAAAGAACUUAGAAGCAAGGACCGAAUCCAAAACUCUCGAACAGAGAAUAUGUAAUUUUCAUUCCUUUAACUUUUAGACUUAAACAUUUCCUUUUCUGUAACUCGUGUGCUUGCGCCCCUUGGAGGCACGUUGUUUUCCGUUUCCAAUUGUAAAGUUCAUCGCCAAUAAAAAGAACACCCUUUUUUGGGACUUUGUUUCAAGAGGUUUCGUCCCUUACACAAUCGUCUGAUCCUCUUUAAUUGUUAGCGAAUUAACCCGCGCGAAACACCAUCCCAUGAAAUUGUUUCAUUAGGGCAUUUCACUUCUGAGUUUCUUGCCACAACUCUCUAGUGGCGACUCAAUUCCUUUGUUGCUCUGCUUUCCAUCUUCCGCCAGCGCAUCCAGUGGAGAUCGACGAGAGCCCGUUCUUGGAGUCGGCGUCACACUGCACAGCUUCUUCACUGGAGACCAUUUUCUCAGUUGACCUCGCACCAUAGUGCUUCUCCGCCAGCGAUUGUGUCGAAUGACCACUAUAGAAGCAUCUCCGACGAGAUAUUUGAACCACUGACUAUGCAGUAGUGAAGAACAAUUUUUUCCUGCUUUACCCAAACAAGACAACGAAAAAGGUAGUAUUUUAACUAGUCACAUCUCCUCCAUGUUUUGGCAUCAAAUUUCACUGCCUUAAUUACCGUUUGAGCUGCCAUUUUCGAGUAUGAAUUUUUUUUCACAGCCUUAAUUUGUUUUAUAGGGAUUUAAAAUCUGUUUCAAUGUGCAUCUCUUCCUGUAAUUAUAUGGGUUCUUUUCAGUAGGUGGGUAAUGGUGGAAUGAAUUCAGUUUGCAUCUUCAUAAUUAGUUUGAGUUUGAAUCUCCUGUAAUUAAUUUCAGUUUGAGUUCGCACAAGUUUGCAUUAGUAAGAGUGUAAUGGUGGAAUACCUUUUGAGUUCGUAUCUAUUGAUGCGCAUUUCUGUCUGUAAUUAGUUGUUGUCAAUCUCAGGAUGAGAGGGGCGAAUUUUGGAGCUUGAGUGUGACGACUGCGGCUACUUUGACUGGGUUGAAAAGGAAAAAUCAAGUGGUGAAUCGAGUAACAUUGAUGAAGCGGUGAACGCCGUGGCCAAUGAAGAAUUCGAAGAGUUGCCAAGCGUGUUUGACUCUCUUGCUCGAAUAGCCAUCAAACAAGGUGUCAAGAUUUCAGCGAACAUGAUAUUUUGUAAGGAAAAAGGACACGUGAAGGAGUGUGGGAAAGGAAAGGGGCCGGCACAGCAUGUUUAGUAGUUAGUUGUUGAACGAGUUGUAUUGUAUUGUGUCCGUUUUGUAUUAGCGAUCAAAAAUUGGUAUUGUGAGAGAAUAUAUGUACUUGGCAUCAGUGUAGAAGAUCAGCUCUGCAACAUUGUAUUAGCUUCAGUUUGGUGAACAUUGUAUUAGCUAUCGCAGGUUCAUUAUUGACAUUUCUGAUCUUAAUUCUCUCUUGCUAGAUUGAGCUGUUUGGUAAAAGACGUGGUUCCUUUGAUACUUGAAUGGGGAUUAGCUAUGAAAUUGAGACGAGUUUUGUGGGAAAGACAGAUUCUUUGUGGGACUUCAUCAGGUUGCCACUCAAUUGCAUUAGCCUAAACAAGGGUUAUCCUUCUUUGAAAUCAUUGCAGCCCAGAU